UAUAUUUCUAAAAUAAUUCUCAUUCCUACCUAAAUCCUCAAUCCCUAAUCGUCUCCCCCCUUAUCUUCUCCAAAUCGUUAAUUCCUCACUCCCUGCACUCCACCGGAACUCAACUCACCGAAUCGGAGCCACUGGUAUCGUUUUUAUUGUACGGUAAUAUUUCUAAUCACAGCAUCUUAAAUCAGUAUCAAAUGCUUAUUGAUCACACUCUCACUUGAAGAUCUGUAGCUUCGACGACGAUUUCGAGGAAAUAGGUUUGUGGUUUUCGAGGAAACUGGUGUCGGAUUUGUGAUUUUCUUCGUAGUCGGUUUCUGAUUGUUAUAUUUGAUUUCUUUUUUUAUUCACAGGAUUUUUUUAUCGGAGAUGGAUGUCAGAUUAGCUAGUAGUUAGUUAUUUAAAUUCGAUUUUUAUGGAUUUCAUUAUUUUGUUAUCCAUAAUUGAUGAUUUGAUGAUGUGAGACUUGACUAAUCUUUAGUAAAGUAAAUGAGUGUAAGAUCAAAUCAAGAAUUGAAUUAUCAAAACCAAUAUUAACAAAAUAAUUAAUCUAUUUAUAACACUUCUAAUAACUACUUAACUAGUUUUGUAACUAUAUAACUAUAGUUAAUACAAAAACAAUAGUUAACUACAUAUAGUCAUAUAGUGUUUAACACUCCUCCUUAAGUGUUGCUUUUGUAUGAAAAAAAUGUAGUCAUCUUAUUCAAGCUUUUUCAUGCGACCAGGCGAUGCCUGAGGUCGCAUAUGCGAGCGCCUGGUCGCAUAUGUUACCCAAUAUGCGACAUUUAUUUUUUUAUUUUUUUUUAUUUUUUUUUCAAUAUACCCUUUGUAUUUUUUAUAUUUUAAAUAAAUCCCUGA
rnacentral:lncRNA from 1 species